rnacentral:rRNA from 1 species
UACGUAGGGUGCGAGCGUUAAUCGGAAUUACUGGGCGUAAAGCGUGCGCAGGCGGUUCGCUGUGUCCUGUGUGAAAGCCCCGGGCUUAACCUGGGAAGUGGCAUGGGAAACUGGCGGGCUGGAGUGUGGCAGAGGGGGGUGGAAUUCCGCGUGUAGCAGUGAAAUGCGUAGAGAUGCGGAGGAACACCGAUGGCGAAGGCAGCCCCCUGGGCUAACACUGACGCUCAGGCACGAAAGCGUGGGGAGCAAACAGG